GUAGAGUGCGGGCGUGCUACUAGUGUUGAUUGUUCUUGGCUGGUUACAGUGGUUCAGUUGCACAAGAAACAUGUAACUACUCUAUUAGCAAAGAGUUGCUCCAGGGUAAGGAUGGGAUUGGGCCUAAUAACUGUUAGGUGAGGGACACAAUGAUGGCCUUGCACCUACUUGAGAAUAGUGAAGGAACCAGAUCUAGGGUUUCAGGGUUAGAUCUAGAAAAAGAGGGUUAGAUCUUGAAACCUUUUCAAGAUCUUAUAGCGGAAGACUAAAAUAAAUCAAAAUUUAUUUUCUAAGAUCAAAAAAUCCCUAGAUCUAAGAUUCUAUUACAUGAUUAUUACAUGACAUUAAAUCAGAAAUUAAAAUAUAUAAAUAUAGCAUGAACUACAUGUUGAUCAUAUCAACAUGUUUCUAUACUACAUCUAAUGUAUAUAUUAAACAAUAGAUCAGAUCUAUUACCUUGCAAGUUAGAUGUUCUAACCUUGCUGAUCUGGGCUUGAGGAUGAUGUUGCAAGCC
rnacentral:lncRNA from 1 species